rnacentral:tRNA from 1 species
GGAGAGAUGUCUGAGUGGUUUAAGGUGCACGCUUGGAAAGCGUGUGUGGAGGUAACUUCACCGCGGGUUCAAAUCCCGCUCUCUCCG